rnacentral:rRNA from 1 species
AACGAACGCUGGCGGCAUGCCUAACACAUGCAAGUCGAACGAGACCUUCGGGUCUAGUGGCGCACGGGUGCGUAACGCGUGGGAACCUGCCCUUAGGUUCGGAAUAACUCCCCGUCAGGGGUGCUAAUACCGGAUAAUGUCUUCGGACCAAAGAUUUAUCGCCUUUGGAUGGGCCCGCGUUGGAUUAGCUAGUUGGUAGGGUAAAAGCCUACCAAGGCGACGAUCCAUAGCUGGUCUGAGAGGAUGAGCAGCCACACUGGGACUGAGACACGGCCCAGACUCCUACGGGAGGCAGCAGUGGGGAAUAUUGGACAAUGGGCGAAAGCCUGAUCCAGCAAUGCCGCGUGAGUGAUGAAGGCCUUAGGGUUGUAAAGCUCUUUUACCCGGGAUGAUAAUGACAGUACCGGGAGAAUAAGCUCCGGCUAACUCCGUG